rnacentral:rRNA from 1 species
GUGGGGAAUAUUGGGCAAUGGGCGAAAGCCUGACCCAGCAACGCCGCGUGAAGGAAGAAGGUUUUCGGAUCGUAAACUUCUAUCCUUGGUGAAGAUAAUGACGGUAGCCAAGAAGGAAGCCCCGGCUAACUACGUGCCAGCAGCCGCGGUAAUACGUAGGGGGCAAGCGUUGUCCGGAAUGAUUGGGCGUAAAGGGCGCGUAGGCGGCCCGGUAAGUCUGAAGUGAAAGUCCUGCUUUUAAGGUGGGAAUUGCUUUGGAUACUGUCGGGCUUGAGUGCAGGAGAGGUAAGCGGAAUUCCCGGUGUAGCGGUGAAAUGCGUAGAGAUCGGGAGGAACACCAGUGGCGAAGGCGGAUUACUGGACUGUAACUGACGCUGAGGCGCGAAAGUGUGGGGAGCAAACAGGAUUAGAAACCCGUGUAGUCC